rnacentral:lncRNA from 1 species
AAAUGAGAUUGCACCUGCACUCUGAGGAAGCUAAAGGGAGUUUACAGGAUGAUUAGCUCAUGGUCUAGUUGGGACUUCGGGUCCUUGUGAGGAAGUCCUUGGCCUGGACAGAAGAGGGCAUCGGAACCCCCUGGACUGGAGUUGCAGAUGGUUGUGAGCCACCACAUGGGUGCUCGGAGAUGAGCCCAGGUCAUCUUGAAGAGCAGCCAUUGCAUUUAACUGCUGAGUCAUUUUUUGAGUCCUGGGUGUUUUGAGACAGGCAAGGGCACAGAUGAAGACAAUUCCUAAAGGCCUUCUGAGUUUCCUGGAUUGCCACAUGUUCCUUUGUAUUCAUGUGUGCCUCAUGACUUUCAUCAAACGAUGGGAACAGGGGACAGAAAAUGGAGAGAUGAGGCUGGGCUUAGAUUGGGAAUGAUGGAGGCCACGUGACAUCUCCAGAAGCAAGCAGAAUUGUUCCUUUAAUUGGGACAACUAAAGGGCUGCAGGCUCUGCACAGGGGGUGGAGUCUAUGCACUCAGGGUACAGGAGGCUUGGAGAGAUUUACAGGACUUUAAAGGAGACUUUGCUAAUGGAAGAUACCAUCUACCCAUCAGUUCCUGACAGUCUCAAAGUGGAAGGUAUCACUCAAAGACAUGCGUUGAUCCUUUUAUUGGAAGUG